rnacentral:lncRNA from 1 species
GUCUUCCUUGAUCCUUGAAUUCUGUGGAGCUCAAAUAGACAACAAAGCUUUGUGGAACUGGUUAAGUGUUAGCAUAAAAUCUCUUAGCCUUUAUCAUGUUGAGCUUCCUCUAAUAAAUAUUACUCUCUUUAGUAGGAUCAUAAAUUUAUUUUUAUAUUUUCAUUUUUACAGGACAAGAAUAUAUUUAUUUUAUUUUUACGCCACCACAGUGAAUGGGUUUUAUGCCACGAGCAUACUCACAUGGGGCUUACUGUUUUUAACAUUUUUAUUUUCUUUUCAAGAUAGCAUGAUUAACUAACAACCUAUUUAAGGAAAGUAAAUAAUUUAAGAAAAAAGAGAAUGCAGAAAGGAUAAAUAUGGAUAACUACCGAUUUUACCUUUCGGCGAGGGUUCAAUGUUUUAAGUCUUCUGAACAAGACUUCUCAUCGUGUUCAUUCUUUAGGUGUGUCAUUUGAGUUCGUGUGGACCUUGACAUUUGCACCUCUUGAUACGGUGUAACCCAUGUUUUUCGUUUGCCCAGCAGUUCGAAGUGCGGCAUUGGCAGCAUCCUCUUCAGUGUGUUUGUGCUCGUAGAUCUAGGUCCUUCACUUGGUAGAGUCUGGGAGUUGGAAAACUCCUCCAUAUUUUGCUGGAAGUGUAUCCUGCUCAUAGAGACAAGGCAAAGAUCAAAUGCAUGGGCCCUGUUGGUGGAAAACACCAACAGAACCAAAAGUGUAUUUGUUCUUCUCUAACCUUAAGCAUAGUGAGCAAGACAAAGUUGAUGGAUGAUAAGAUCAUGAGUGUAGCAUUUAAAACAUUUGUCAGAUCUGAUCACUCAACCUUAUGGAAAGAUAAUCUAUCUAAGUAAAUGUUUUUUUCUUUACAUGACUAUCAUUUUCCAAAGAUUGGAUGUGCAACAUUUUAGCUCAUAUGGUUAAGAGUGUGGGAUCAAGAAGGUAGUACUGGAAACAAAGAUUAAAGGACUAAACAUGUUGAAUCAAUUGGGUUGGUUAAUUUAGAGUUAUAAAUCAUACAUGUUUGUCUUUUUAUCCAUGUGCAUGCCAGAAUCAAGGAGAAGCUUAUAACAGUGAGAGUCACAUACCUUA